CCCUUAGAUGUUCUGGGCCGCACGCGCGCUACACUGAUGCAUUCAACGAGUCUAAAACCUGCUCUGAUAGGGGUGGGUAAUCUUUUGAAUGUGCAUCGUGAUUGGGAUAGAUGAUUGCAAUUUUUCAUCUUCAACGAGGAAUGCCUAGUAAACGCAAGUCAUCAGCUUGCAUUGAUUACGUCCCUGCCCUUUGUACACACCGCCCGUCGCUACUACCGAUUGAAUGGCUCAGUGAGGCCUUCGGACUGGCUCGGGGAGGUUGGCAACGACCACCCCAAGCCGGAAAGUUCGUCAAACUCGGUCAUUUAGAGGAAGUAAAAGUCGUAACA
rnacentral:rRNA from 1 species